UAUUAUUUACAUGUCUAUAUUGUUAAUGCAAUGGAUCCCCAUUAGAACUUCGUAGUUAAGCGUGUUUGGGCUAGAGUAGUACUAGGAUGGGUGAUCUCUUGACAAGUACUAGUGUUUUACAUUCC
rfam:Picea glauca, whole genome shotgun sequence.